rnacentral:rRNA from 1 species
UACGGAGGGUGCGAGCGUUGUUCGGAAUCACUGGCGUAAAGCGCGUGCAGGCGGUUUUCUAAGUCUGGUGUGAAAGCCCGGGGCUCACCCCCGGAAGUGCACUGGAGACUGGGAGACUUGAGUACCGGAGAGGAGGGUGGAAUUCCUGGUGUAGCGGUGAAAUGCGUAGAUAUCAGGAGGAACACCGGUGGCGAAGGCGGCCCUCUGGACGGCUACUGACGCUGAGACGCGAAAGCGUGGGGAGCAAACAGG